rnacentral:rRNA from 1 species
UACAGAGGGGGCAAGCGUUGUUCGGAAUUACUGGGCGUAAAGGGCGCGUAGGCGGGAUGGCAAGUCGGUCGUGAAAUCCUUCGGCUCAACCGAAGAACGUCGAUCGAUACUGCUGUUCUUGAGGGUUGCAGAGGAGACUGGAAUUCCCGGUGUAGCGGUGAAAUGUGUAGAGAUCGGGAGGAACACCGGUGGCGAAGGCGGGUCUCUGGGCAAUUCCUGACGCUGAGGCGCGAAAGCGUGGGGAGCAAACGGG